GAGAAAUCUGCCUGAGUGAAAAAUAAGACAGUCUGAAGCAUGUGGCUCUCUUCAGGAAACUCUUAUUGUGGAGGUUAGCACACUCUUUUCACUUCCACAUUCAGAAGCUAAAUAGAUAGCACACAUCCCUGUCUGUCCCCAGUCUUUGUUCAACCUUAACCAGGAAGGGAAAAUCAGUAUUUGUGAAUCCACAACCAAAUGAAGGUGUGCAAGGUCCUGUGAAGCAGUAGGUAGUUUGAAGGAACUAGAUGCAGUAGUGAAAGUUUUCCUGGGGGGAGGUGCUGGAAGUCUGUUCUUUCUUAAUCCAAGCACCCCUGUGGCUCUUGUUUUGUGUUGUACAGGAGGAGGCGGGAGAGGCUGCUCUAAGGGAGGACAUGGUGAGAAUUAUAAUGAGUCUGCGCUCAGUCAGACUUGAAUUUGAGAUGAUUGCAAUGAUGACACCAGGAAAACAAGGGCUCAUUGUUCAGACCUUAUGGCCUCAGAGUUAGCUGAGUGUCUUAGAGGAGUAGGCCUGUGACCAUCACAACACAACAGACAAGAGACUUUCUAUUACAAGCAAUCCCACUGGCAGAAGAAUAAAAUGCUAAAUGCUGUUUUACUGGUCAUUAGUAAUAUGCCAUGAGUGAUUUAGAAGCUGUUCUGAUGCAACUGAAAGAAACCCACAGCAGAACUGAUGAAGGUGUGACAUCUUUAUGGAAGAUAGGAUUUGGUUUGGCUCUGUUGCACUCUGAUUUUGGGUAGGUAUUUAAACAAGUUUGUCUUUUCUUAAAAAAUAAAAAAA